CCCCUAUAGUAUAAGAUAUUACAAUGGCCUUGUAAGCCAUAAAUGAAAGCCAUUUUCUAAGGGUAU
rnacentral:tRNA from 1 species